CCUACGGGAGGCAGCAGUGGGGAAUAUUGGACAAUGGGCGGAAGCCUGAUCCAGCCAUGCCGCGUGUGUGAAGAAGGCCUUUUGGUUGUAAAGCACUUUAAGCGAGGAGGAGGCUACUAGUAUUAAUACUACUGGAUAGUGGACGUUACUCGCAGAAUAAGCACCGGCUAACUCUGUGCCAGCAGCCGCGGUAAUACAGAGGGUGCGAGCGUUAAUCGGAUUUACUGGGCGUAAAGCGUGCGUAGGCGGCUGAUUAAGUCGGAUGUGAAAUCCCUGAGCUUAACUUAGGAAUUGCAUUCGAUACUGGUCAGCUAGAGUAUGGGAGAGGAUGGUAGAAUUCCAGGUGUAGCGGUGAAAUGCGUAGAGAUCUGGAGGAAUACCGAUGGCGAAGGCAGCCAUCUGGCCUAAUACUGACGCUGAGGUACGAAAGCAUGGGGAGCAAACAGGAUUAGAUACCCUGGUAGUCCAUGCCGUAAACGAUGUCUACUAGCCGUUGGGGUCUUUGAGACUUUAGUGGCGCAGCUAACGCGAUAAGUAGACCGCCUGGGGAGUACGGUCGCGAAGACUAAAACGUCAAAGUAGUAAGUUAGGACGGUUCGUUAGGACGACGUUCGGACCCGGACGGGACCACCGACGGGUAGGGGAGUUAGGGG
rnacentral:rRNA from 1 species